rnacentral:lncRNA from 1 species
GUUUUUGCACUUUACGAAAAGCUCAUUUAAAUUAGAAGGGAUGGUAGUUGGAAUUGCUUUUUCUCAGAAUCAUCCAAUUAACAUAUGAAAAUUGUGCUUUCUUUAUCUUCAUCCUCGGUAAGAUUAUCUUUAAUCUCUCGAGAUUAAUUUGCAUCAUUGCUUUCGGUAAAAUCCUUCAAUCUCCAUAAUGGUUUUCUGUAAAAUCCUUCAAUUUUUAUCAUCCUUUUCUGUAAAAUCUACCUAAAUCCUCCUUCAUGUCAUUGCCACAUGUUUCCAAUAUAGAUUUCAAGUGGGCAGGUUCAAGAUUCAUGUAAGGAAUCAAUUACUUCAGAAAUAUAUUUACUUGGCUGAUAAUUUCGAAAUAGAGAAGAAAAAGAAUACAAUGAUAUAUAUUGUUACUGUAUUAUUCAUUAUUUAUAUUUUAUUAUUAUUGACUCUUUAAAAAAGUAGUAUAAAUAAAUGAUAAAUCAUGUAUAGAUUGUGCAUAUAUAUUGCACUCUUGGAAAUAUAUUUACUUAUUUGGACCAUGAAUUAUAUUAUGAAUUCCAGGCUUAACGUUGUCUCAGGAAAUUUUAUCAAUUUGCGUAGUUUUUUUAUCACUUCAAUGUAAUUCCAAUGAUCAUUCAUACAUCCUUCCAAUCGAGUAAAAAUCCUAAAUUUUACUCAUACUAGCCUACAAAAAGAAAAAUAUAUAACAUAUUUGAUAAAAAAAUAAGUAAUUUGAUAUAAUGUUUAUCCUAAUUGUGUUCUAUAUAUAGUGAUAUAAAAUUAAAGUUCUCAACUUGAUUUCAGUAAAAUAAAAUAAAAACACAAAAAAUAUCACAGUAAUAAAAUUAAAAAAAAACACAAAAAAUUAUCACAGUAAUAAAAUAAAAUAAAAACACAAAAAAUUAUCACAGUAAUAAAAUUAAAAAAACACUACUGAAAAGUAGAAAAUGUAGAUUAUAAAGAAUAAAAAAAUCUAUUUAUUUGAGAAAAAAUAUAAUUACAUACAACAAUAUAAAAAAUAAAUUAAUAAUAGAGUGAGUAAGGAUCAUAAGAAAAUACCAACUUACCACAAUGCGUGAAAAGAUAUUAUUACCCACAAAAUAUUAAAAUAAAGUUAGCAUAGAUAUAAUAUAAAAUUAAUUAUUAAAAUAAAUAAAAUCUACAAUAAUCUUUAAAUAAAAAUCUACACUAAAAAGUAAAAACUGUAAAAAGUAAGAUCACAAGAACUAAUUAAAUUAUUAAGAAAUAAAAUUAAAUAUUUAAUAUUAAAAUAUUAACUAAAAUAAUAUAUUUUUUACCUCAGUACCCUCUAGGCACAAUGCAAGAUGGAAGUAUAUGAAAAUAAUUUAAAUGUUUAAGAGAAUUGGAUAAAAGGGAAUGAAAUGUGUUAGAGUUGGGUGUGGAAUUGAAAAGUUGUACAUAUUAUUCAUUAAGGUUGUUGCCUAAUUCACUAAUUCUUUAGUUUUUGCUUCUUUGCAAAUCAACAAUCUCUAGGAUUAAUUUUUUUAAUGGUAUUCAACAAUGGCAAUGCUAUAUCAGAUUAUGUAACACUCUUGAGUUUUGAUGUUGGAAACUUUCUCAGAUGGAACAAGAUUAUAUAUUUCUCAACCUAUCGAACAUUGUGCAUGUUUGUUUUGACUGCUCCAAGGCCAGAAGUGAAGAUGAGACACAUGGAAAGCUUGACCACAUUUUGAAUGGGAUGUUUGAUGUCGAAUUCGAAGCAAACAUCCCAUUCAUAGUUUUAGGAUAAGUUGGAAGCUAUAAUACAUAUACAUAGUUUAUAAAGUUUAAACUUGUGACCUCAUGAUUACUCAACAACAAUCUUACUGUUGUACCAAAUUCACAUUCUGUAACUUUAAGCAAUAUAACAC